rnacentral:rRNA from 1 species
GCGACGCUGGCGGCAUGCCUAAUCAUGCAAGUCGAGCGAACAGACGAGGUGCUUGCACCUCUGACGUUAGCGGCGGAUGGGUGAGUAACACGUGGGCAACCUGCCCUGCAGAUGGGGAUAACUCCGGGAAACCGGGGCUAAUACCGAAUAAACCAUUGAACCUCCUGGUUCGAUGUUGAAAGACGGUUUCGGCUGUCACUGCAGGAUGGGCCCGCGGCGCAUUAGCUAGUUGGUGGGAUAACGGCCUACCAAGGCAACGAUGCGUAGCCGACCUGAGAGGGUGAUCGGCCACACUGGGACUGAGACACGGCCCAGACUCCUACGGGAGGCAGCAGUAGGGAAUCUUCCACAAUGGACGCAAGUCUGAUGGAGCAAUGCCGCGUGAGUGAAGAAGGAUUUCGGUUCGUAAAACUCUGUUGCGAGGGAAGAACAAGUACGAAGUAACUACUCGUACCUUGACGGUACCUCGUUAGAAAGCCACGGCUAACUACGUGCCAGCAGCCGCGGUAAUACGUAGGUGGCAAGCGUUGUCCGGAAUUAUUGGGCGUAAAGCGCGCGCAGGCGGCCUUUUAAGUCUGAUGUGAAAGCCCACGGCUCAACCGUGGAAGGUCAUUGGAAACUGGGAGGCUUGAGUAUAGGAGAGGAAAGUGGAAUUCCACGUGUAGCGGUGAAAUGCGUAAAGAUGUGGAGGAACACCAGUGGCGAANGCGACUUUCUGGCCUAUUACUGACNCUGANGCGCGAAAGCGUGGGGAGCAAACAGGAUUANAUACCCUGGUANUCCNCNCCGUAAACNAUGAGUGCUAANUGUUANGGGGUUUNCCCCCCNUUANUGCUGCANUUAACNCAUUAACCCUCCC